rnacentral:rRNA from 1 species
UACGUAGGUGGCAAGCGUUGUCCGGAUUUAUUGGGUUUAAAGGGUGCGUAGGCGGCCCUGUAAGUCAGUGCUGAAAUAUUCCAGCUUAACUGGGAGGGUGGCAUUGAUACUGUGGGGCUAGAGUACAGAUGAGGUAGGCGGAAUUGACGGUGUAGCGGUGAAAUGCUUAGAUAUCGUCAAGAACACCUAUAGCGAAGGCAGCUUACUAGGCUGUAACUGACGCUGAGGCACGAAAGUGUGGGGAUCAAAC